CCUACGGGGGGCUGCAGUGGGGAAUAUUGGACAAUGGGCGAAAGCCUGAUCCAGCCAUGCCGCGUGUGUGAAGAAGGCCUUCGGGUUGUAAAGCACUUUCAGUGGGGAAGAAAGCCUUGGGGCUAAUACCCUCGAGGAAGGACAUCACCCACAGAAGAAGCACCGGCUAACUCCGUGCCAGCAGCCGCGGUAAUACGGAGGGUGCGAGCGUUAAUCGGAAUUACUGGGCGUAAAGCGCGCGUAGGCGGUCUGAUAAGCCGGUUGUGAAAGCCCCGGGCUCAACCUGGGAACGGCAUCCGGAACUGUCAGGCUAGAGGGCAGGAGAGGAAGGUAGAAUUCCAGGUGUAGCGGUGAAAUGCGUAGAGAUCGGGAGGAAUACCAGUGGCGAAGGCGGCCUUCUGGACUGACACUGACGCUGAGGUGCGAAAGCGUGGGUAGCAAACAGGAUUAGAUACCCCGUAGUC
rnacentral:rRNA from 1 species